UGGAAGUAAANNNUNNUAACAAGGUCUCCGUUGGUGAACCAGCGGAGGGAUCAUUACCGAGUUUACAACUCCCAAACCCCUGUGAACAUACCUAUACGUUGCCUCGGCGGAUCAGCCCGCGCCCCGUAAAAAGGGACGGCCCGCCCGAGGACCCCUAAACUCUGUUUUUAGUGGAACUUCUGAGUAAAACAAACAAAUAAAUCAAAACUUUCAACAACGGAUCUCUUGGUUCUGGCAUCGAUGAAGAACGCAGCAAAAUGCGAUAAGUAAUGUGAAUUGCAGAAUUCAGUGAAUCAUCGAAUCUUUGAACGCACAUUGCGCCCGCCAGUAUUCUGGCGGGCAUGCCUGUUCGAGCGUCAUUUCAACCCUCAAGCUCAGCUUGGUGUUGGGACUCGCGGUAACCCGCGUUCCCCAAAUCGAUUGGCGGUCACGUCGAGCUUCCAUAGCGUAGUAAUCAUACACCUCGUUACUGGUAAUCGUCGCGGCCACGCCGUAAAACCCCAACUUCUGAAUGUUGACCUCGGAUCAGGUAGGAAUACCCGCUGAACUUAAGCAUAUCAAUAG
rnacentral:rRNA from 1 species